GAUGAACGCUGGCGGCGUGCCUAAUACAUGCAAGUCGAGCGAACAGAUGAGGAGCUUGCUCCUCUGACGUUAGCGGCGGACGGGUGAGUAACACGUGGAUAACCUACCUAUAAGACUGGGAUAACUUCGGGAAACCGGAGCUAAUACCGGAUAAUAUAUUGAACCGCAUGGUUCAAUAGUGAAAGACGGUUUUGCUGUCACUUAUAGAUGGAUCCGCGCCGCAUUAGCUAGUUGGUAAGGUAACGGCUUACCAAGGCAACGAUGCGUAGCCGACCUGAGAGGGUGGUCGGCCACACUGGAACUGAGACACGGUCCAGACUCCUACGGGAGGCAGCAGUAGGGAAUCUUCCGCAAUGGGCGAAAGCCUGACGGAGCAACGCCGCGUGAGUGAUGAAGGUCUUCGGAUCGUAAAACUCUGUUAUUAGGGAAGAACAAAUGUGUAAGUAACUAUGCACGUCUUGACGGUACCUAAUCAGAAAGCCGCGGCUAACUACGUG
rnacentral:rRNA from 1 species